CAAGUUAGUUUCCCUGGUUUGACAAUGUUCUUCUUGUUCUUGUAGGAGAGCUUGUUAAUACUCUUUGCCAUAAUUCCUUCUAAUGACAACAGGAAGAGAAACAUUGCCACCAAUCUAUGGAGCAUACUCAAGAAGGUAAUCGUUCUGGAAUAAAAUAGCAGAAUCUAGCACUUGACAUAGGAGAGUGAGUAGAAGCCUUCAUCCCUAUUUUUAGGGCUGGCUGCCAUCGUUCUGGGCCACCAGAUAUGUAGAUUAUUGUUCAGCUUUUCCCCCUCCCGUUUUUUGGUCUGGUCUCAUCAGAUACGCAUUCCAAGAAAUUACCUCAAGAUUUGUUUCACCAUUAAAGUGACAUUCUCAGCUGUGCUCCAAUCAACUGGAUAAAAGAGAAUACCUCAGAGGUUGUUUCUGGUUGACUAUCACCUUUCAAAGUAUGUAUAUGUGUGAGAGAGCCCUCAUCCUUCUUAGACUAUUGUUAGAAAUAACUAAUGAUGUAUUAUAAAAUGCCUGGCAUGCCAAAGGGCUCCAAAACUCUUUUGCGACUGCAUAUAUAAACAGGAAUUACUUCACCCACC
rnacentral:lncRNA from 1 species